rnacentral:rRNA from 1 species
AGCGAACGCUGGCGGCAGGCUUAACACAUGCAAGUCGAGCGGGCAUCCUUGUGGUGUCAGCGGCAGACGGGUGAGUAACGCGUGUGAACGUGCCCUUCGGUUCGGAAUAACUCAGGGAAACUUGAGCUAAUACCGGAUACGUGCGAGAGCAGAAAGGUUUAUCUGCCGAAGGAUCGGCCCGCGUCUGAUUAGCUAGUUGGUGAGGUUAUGGCUCACCAAGGCGACGAUCAGUAGCUGGUCUGAGAGGAUGAUCAGCCACACUGGGACUGAGACACGGCCCAGACUCCUACGGGAGGCAGCAGUGGGGAAUAUUGGACAAUGGGGGCAACCCUGAUCCAGCCAUGCCGCGUGAGUGAUGACGGCCUUAGGGUUGUAAAGCUCUUUUCUCCGGGACGAUAAUGACGGUACCGGAGGAAUAAGCCCCGGCUAACUUCGUG